ensembl:miRNA MIR9860 microRNA mir-9860
GGCCUUUCUCUUGCCCGAGAGCUUGGACCGCGCGUUGCAGUGGGGUGACGCGAGGUUCAGCCCGGGCCUCCUCGAAGGCUG